CAGAUGGUUUACGUUUAGGAUAGGCCCUAAGGUGUGCGAGAUGGCUCUCCUCGCCCCCGCCCCGCCACCUCCACCAACGCCGAGCCCCAAAACCCCCCCUUUACGCCGUCCGCGGCGCCUCCUCGCCGGAGAAAGCCCCAGACCCUACCUUCCCCCGCCGCCAGCGUGGCCGCAAGGGGCGAAACCUGUCCACCCUCGCAAUCUCCCUUGCCAUCGGCCUCGCAGUCCGGCCCCUCGCCCCGGGCCGGUCGAGGUCAGCCCGCAGGCCUGGCAUCUCCUCGCGAUCUUCCUGUCCACCAUCGCUGGACUCGUUCCGAGCUCGCUGCCGGUGGGAAUCUGGGCCUUCCUCGGCCUCACUGCCUCUGUCGUCACCAAAACGUCAAGCUUCUCGGCGGCAUUCGGGCCUUCACAAAUGAAGUGAUCUCCAUGCAGGCGUGUAGUUAGUUCCACAUCGGCUAUGCAGUACGUAGAUUUUGAAUACUUGUACAGGGCCAAGGAAUCCAAGUUGUUACAAAUCGUAUCGGAGGGAACCUGGCCCCUGGCCGAUGUGGACUGGGGGGGACACCACAGCAAAGGCAUAGUCUCACUAUCAGUGAGGACUUCAUUGCGCCGGCGAUGCUCCAGAACCGACUUCCUGGGUCGCCAAAAGCAGGCCUGGGGACUCUUCAUUUAAGAAUCUCGGUUCCUAUCUGAUCAUGUUUCAGCUAGCUGGUAACUCAAGUGCCCUUUUCUGAACUGCUGCAGCUCGGAACCUGUUAUGCCUUAAAUUAACUGAGGAAUUUGGGGUUAGGUUUGAAAGUCCAUGAAUAUCAUGUUUCGAAACUGCAAGUUUACUUGCCAUCAUUUCUCUUCUAGCUACUCCAUAUAUCUUAUACAAUUUUUUUGCCCUGCAAGUGACAGUUACACCAGAGGCACCUGCUUUGGCUGCAAAAAAGCUGGAACAAGGAAUGAAUGGGUCAUGGUUGGGACAGUGGUUCUUGCAGUUCCUUUUUGGGUAUUUGGGUAACUAAUUAUGAUAUUAUUUAAUUGAUGGAAUCCUUUGAUAUGGUACAAAAGAAUGUUGCUUUAUUCUAUUAGUUGUGUGGAUUGGUGUCAGCUAAUGAUAUUAUGUUAUCCCCAGCUUGGCACCGUGCACGCUGGACUUAUCAAUAUUAGAUUGUUAGUUGGUCUACGUGAUCAUAGUUUCUGGUCAACACUGAAAACUUGUUAAAGACAGAAAUUCAAGUUUUUCCAUAUUUGUGAACAACGAUGAUACUGAUGAUGUUAAGACAAGACUUCCCUUUAUACCAUAACCAUAAUCAUCUAGCCCUUCCCAACUAUUUAGGGAUAGUAGUUUUAUAUAUUUAUAUUUCUAUUAAUUAAUAUAAGAUGAAUGAAAUCAAAGUUCAUUAAUUGAUUAUGGUAAAGACCAGCCUAGGGGUAAACAAGAACAAGCCACAAGUAUCUGGUUGAGGUUGACUUUUUGGAUUCUACUUUUCCAUUGGUUAAAUAUAUUUUUGAAAUGUCUUGCUAUUUUUCACAUAAAAAAUUUUGGAGCACUCAUGCAUAAAUGUUAGUCACAUGGUAAUAGGCACCAGAAGUCUAUUGCACUUGUAAAGUGAAGUUGAGAUGCCUUCACUUAAAUAUAGUUUUGUAAGUAAUAUACUUACAUUUUUCAAUUAUUACUUGGCCAGAGGACAUAACUUUGUAAAGUUUUGCUGCAUAUUUGCUAUGUUAAGAAGCUCAAUGCGUAGAAGUUAUUGCACAUAUAGGCUCUUGUUGCAGCAAGUGUUGUUGCAGCAGUGCUUGGCUUAUCCUUCCUUCUGCUUCUGGGUGUUCUGGAUUGGGAUGAUUGCCUAAGUGAAAAGUCUGAAUGGGAUACUUUGGCUUGGUUUGCAAUUCUAGUUGGAAUGGCUGGCCAGCUUACAAAUCUGGGAUUGGUGACAUGGAUGUCUGGUUGUGUGGCCAAGUCUCAUCAGUCUGUCUCACUGAGGCGGACAGCAGCAUUCUGUGUUCUUCAGCCAUCCUACUUUCUCAUCCACUACCUAUUUGCAAGUCAGACUGGGCAUGUAGGAGCCUUCUACUUGGCAUAUCUUGCCAUGCACUUAGCAGCUGGUGUUCCUGGUAUGAAGGCAGCACUGGCUGUAGCCUAUAAUACAAAUCUUUUGGUGCACUAACACAUUAUAAUGGUGGUCAGGCUGCUGUAAGUGGGAUAUGUAGAGCUUCUUGAUGUAUUCAGGCUGGGCCUGAUGACGGUCAUGAUUAAUAGAUCUGGGGGAGUUGUCAGAACCUUCUAGUGGAAAUAUUUGGGGAUGUAUUGAGGUUCGUGAUUUUGUAAGUUGAGGAAGUUUUCUCCGUGCCAAAACCAAAGGAUUUUUCUCCAUAAUUUAUUCUGGAAGCAUUUCUAUCUUCUUUUCUGUGGUCUUCAAAGUUUUGAUGAUGGAAAGGAAUUGAGUCAUAUGAUCAUCGCGCCUCCUAGUUGAUGACAUGGGAAUCUGAACUUUAAUUGCUUUUUAUGUCAUUUGUGGUUCUGCUUUCCCCAUAUCUAUACACACCCUCAUUAUUGGCGAUGUUUAUCAUGGCUCCAUGAGAUAUUUUUCUACCUAGACUAGAACAAUUUUUUAUUAUCUGAAUUAUUGAUGAAACAAUCAAUGGGGUUCACAUUGUUUCAUAUUUCUAGCGGCAGUCUAAUCUCCUACCUUGUAUGUGUUAGACCAACAUAAUGAAAUUUGUCUUUUGAUGAACUUUGUUCUUGUUUCAAUUAUGCAUGAGAGGGCAAUUGAUAGCCUGUAAACUCACAGCGGAUGAGUGAAUCAUGUUUAUUUGAUAGAUAGGUAAUAUUCUGUUUUAAAGUAUGCACAUAAAAUAGUGGAAACUUAACAGGUUGUACAUAAGAGAAGGAAAAAUAAAGAAGAGAACAUAUGAGCGAUAAGAGUUUUAUAUUGGGGGAACUUGAAAAUAAACGUCAUAAAGUUGCGUGGCUUGGUUGCUUACAUGUGUCAUAAUGGAUAAGUUUUGUACUUUAUCCCACGCACUAUCUAAAUUAGUUUGAGUAGAUGAUAAUUUUCAUAGGUUUACAUUGUUAUGAUUAGUCCUGAUAAGCUAUAUUCCAUAUUUACACGACAUAAUACACUGGAUGCAGCAAUCUGGUCAUAUACAGACUAGAUUCUAGAAAAACACCAGAAGGUAAGCAGUGGUGUUAAAUUAACAUUAUGGUUGGUUUAGUUUUCAGGUGAUUGGAAUAAAAAAAAUCUAUAAUAUUUGUUUUUCAUGCUUUUAUAAUAAUGUGAAAAAAUAUAAGUGACACUAAUUGCAGAAUGAGGCCGGUCAAGGAUAUUUACAAUAGUGGAGAAAAUGACUUGGAUAAUCAUUAAUCCCAUUUCACAAUUAAAGCAUCUUUUUCCAAGCAAGUCUAUUGAAUGAAGGGCUGAUGUGGCACCAAUGUUGUGGACAACUUGCUCCUUAAUGCUUAUCUUGAUUCAUGUUCUGCCCUGGGUAACAUGGCUGAGCAAAGUUUUGACUGAGUUUGAGAAGGUUCUUGAUUGAGCUCUUUCUUAGAUCGUCUCCUUGAAAUGCAUAAUGUAUCUGUCAGUGAACUUUGUUAUUUCCUAGUGAUUGAUACAGAAAUGGAAGGGGAGCUGAUGAAAUCAAGGUCAGCAAAUCCCAUUACAACACAAUGUAAACAUUGAAAGGCUUAGUCUAGUUGAUCUAUUUCCUACUGUAAUUUUUUUUUCUUCAGUUCAGCAACUGAUUAGAAAUCUAAUUCCUAUUGUCAGUUGGAUAUGGUAGUAGAAUUUGAAGAGUGAGGAAAAGAAGCGAAAACACAUGAAGUCAUUCUUUGUAUUUGUAAUGCUGGUACUCCUUUCGCAAUGGUUACAUGUAUUAUGUUCCCAUCAUCUUGUCACAAUCACUUGCAAAAGUAACAUGUCAUGUUUUUUCUGCCUCUUAGACAUUUCAAGGAGCCUGUGGCUGUUAGACAAUAAUUAUUUGGAAAUUAGUCAUGAAAAUGGGAUUGUGGGAGGGGUCCAGGUUUUUUUUAACAAGCAGCAAUGCAGUUUGGAGUUUAACAAGGGUCCAUUUUACAGAAUAGUUACUUCUUAUUUGUAAUAUCAUUUUUUUAUGCCUGUCAUUAGAAACACUUAGGAAAAUGAUGAUGCAUGCGUAGCAGCAUUCAUUGAAGGUUCAGAUGAAUGAAUGUUGUUUUGGUAGGCCUUCAGAGAGCUUUGCAUCUCUUGAUAUUUGUUCGAAGCAGCACUUCUAUCUCCAUUAUUUUCUUUUAGCAAAAUACACUCUUAUCUUCAUUUAUCUUUUGAUUUUCUUCUUCUGUUUUUUUUUUUUGCUUAAUUACAUGCAACUUUCUUUAAAGUUAACAUAUGUGUUGUAGGUGAAAGGGUUUCGUUUGUGGGAAACGACCUCAAAGGAUGAUUCAGUUGGGUGAUUUAUAUUCCAUGUCUGCGAGAAAAUAUGAACGUGAAAAACAUUAACAUAGACUAUUUUCAAAAACCUAUUAAAAACAAGAUGCUGGAGCUAGAAGAUUUUUUUAAAAAAACUAUGGUCGCAAAAACAACAAUCGAUGCAUUUUUCUGCUGUCAUGCAUUAAACUCCCUAUACAAAAGGAAACCUAGCCAUGCUAUAUAUGUAUAUAUUAAAUCUUAAUAAUCAAGUUCUGCAAAGAAUAUUUUUAUAAAGAUCCUAGGAGCAGAAAUUACUGUGCUAUGGUGCUGAGCACAUCUUAACUACACGCCUUGAGGUUGUUCCCUACAGCUGCUCUCCUGUUCUUAAUACAUAUAUCACUUGAAACUGUAAAAAUUGAAAAUUUAGUCAGUCAUUAGUUUGCACUGUCUUUUGCUGCUACCUUGGUUUCUCGGACGUGGAUUAUAGACAGAAGCGGACUAUUGAAAUGGUAUUAAUGUUUGUCACUUUUUCUUCCAUGAAGAGUUCCUCAGUUGACUGAGGAUGGUGGCACUUUCACAGUUCUUUCACAAAAACGAUUCAAGAAUUUUUGUAUUUGGGCUCUGGAAAAAGUUUCAAAUGACUUCAUUUAUCUAUCUGUUCACCUUUGGUUCCUAUAAUUAGUGAAAAACAUUUCAGAAGAUAUAUAUCUAAGCCUAGAUCCCAUUGCUGCACAAUAACAUGUUCAUGCUGCCAAGUGGUUCUAUUCAUUGGAUUGAUCAUAAGAAUUUGCAUAUCUUUUGGUGUCAAUGAGCACAAAACAUUUUCUUUAUAGUCAUUGUUGAGUGCUUUCUUCUAUUUAUGUUUAUUAUUAUCUUAAGGGCCUUGGACAAGCUGGUCUGAGGCAGUCAUUACGAUGGGCGCACCAAGUCUCUGCUCAUCAAAUGACUAUUACAACCCCAAAAAAUGAUUCCUGAAACAUCUCAUCAUUUUGGAUCAGUGGUCUAGUAGGCAUGGAGUUUUCAACAAGGUACCUGGUUUUCAUUUAAUGCUGAGAUUUAUAAUACACUAGAAGCUCCUAAUAAGGUUUCUUAGGACACAGUAGUUAUUUUUUAAUUGGUUUUAGUAAUAUGAUGUUAAAAUUUCUUGUAUGUUACAGUAAAGUUGGCUAAUGAGAUGGUUUGAGUUGAAUUUGUAAAUAAUUUACGAAAUUUUUAUGAUAUAGUUUGAAGGAUAAAGACAAACUGAACAUAUGGGAAUGAAGGACAGUCUCACAAGUAGAAGCCUGAAUUCACUCGUCUCUGCCAUUUCACGGUUUGCUUGUUAUUUAGUGAGUUAGGUGAUAUGCUUUGACAUCUACAUAGUCACCCUCUACUGAUGGAAAUCAAGGCCAUUGAAAUGAUGAUCUUGCGCAAAGUAUCAUUUGCUCAACCUGUUUCUCUGUUCAUUUGCUCAGGAACUUUUCUCUGUUCUUUAAGAAAUUAUCUUGCGCAAAGCAUGCGGGCAACCUUACCUGUUAUCAAAUGGCAUAAGAAUUCCAACCAAACCUUGUUCGUUCACCGGCCAAGCUUUUCUAAAGUUUUUGACACCCAAAUACCUUUGGCUGUGCUUUGUAUGAUAAGGGAAAGAAAGGUGAGAGAGACAUGGAGAGGUAGUCCAUCUUUCCCCUUCUUUUUAGGCUUUCUGGCCACAUGACACACACCCAUGUAAACCAAAUAGCUCCUUCCCUCCUUUUCUUUAUUUUCCCCUUCUCUUUGCUUCAGCUUUUUCUUCUAUGCAGGAUUCCAUUAGGUGGGGGGCUAACACAAGCUCUAGCAGGAGACGUGGGAAAAAGACCAAGCCAUCGCUUUCCUAAACCUAUAAAGAUAGUGGAAAGAAAGAAUGGGUAGAUGCGCUGCAUGGAGUUCCAAAGCUGGCUCGCAAUCGAUUGCUUGUGGGCAGAGAGAGGACAUCUUGUUUUGCUUGUGAACUUUGCUUGGAUUCCUCUGCCAGCUUGGAAAGCGGAGCUAAGAGAAAAAGAGCUUUUGCUUUCAUAGCAGUGUCCGGUCACCAAGUAUACGUGCCUAGUGUACUAAGCAGUCUGGUACGGUGCAGCACAGCUCGAUUGUAUCAUGCAGUCGCCAAAAGUCUUGCUGCUGCAGUGCAAUACCUAAAUUCUUGUAACUCAAUUUAUCAAAAUCCUCUAUGUUAAGCUGAAGGGAAUAAGAUUGCCUCAAUGGCAUUUGGAUUGCAUUGCAUACAUGUAAUGAGAGCUGGUGACAGCCAAUUAAGCAUUGUAAGCUAAGCUACAACUAGCUAGCCAAACAACUGCAUAUGAGUACAGUUAUCGCAUUUGCUUUA